CAGAAAUGUGGAAUGACUUAAGUUACUUACAGAGUAUGGAGUGAUGUGAGGAAAUCAAAUGAGCCAGGCAUCACACAAGUUAUCUGGUUGUCAUACAGAGACCUGCAAGGAAAGUAUGAGUUAUAAAUAGGAAUAGGUGAACUUCUUACCCAGAUCUGAGAACAAUAGUGAAAAAUACUGUAAUAAAAAGCCUGAGUGAAU